rnacentral:rRNA from 1 species
GACGAACGCUGGCGGCGUGCUUAACACACGCAAGUCGAACGGAAAGGCCCUGCUUUUGUGGGGUGCUCGAGUGGCGAACGGGUGAGUAACACGUGAGUAACCUGCCCUUGACUUUGGGAUAGCUUCAGGAAACUGGGGCUAAUACCGGAUAGGAGCUCCUGCUGCAUGGUGGGGGUUGGAAAGUUUCGGCGGUUGGGGAUGGACUCGCGGCUUAUCAGCUUGUUGGUGGGGUAGUGGCUUACCAAGGCUUUGACGGGUAGCCGGCCUGAGAGGGUGACCGGCCACAUUGGGACUGAGAUACGGCCCAGACUCCUACGGGAGGCAGCAGUGGGGAAUAUUGCACAAUGGGCGGAAGCCUGAUGCAGCAACGCCGCGUGCGGGAUGACGGCCUUCGGGUUGUAAACCGCUUUCGCCUGUGACGAAGCGUGAGUGACGGUAAUGGGUAAAGAAGCACCGGCUAACUACGUG